rnacentral:rRNA from 1 species
AUUGGACGCUGGCGGCAGGCUUAACACAUGCAAGUCGGGCGGAGCGAGGGUGCUUGCACCUUAGCUUAGCGGCGGACGGGUGAGUAAUGCUUAGGAAUCUGCCUAUUAGUGGGGGACAACAUUCCGAAAGGAAUGCUAAUACCGCAUACGCCCUACGGGGGAAAGCAGGGGAUCUUCGGACCUUGCGCUAAUAGAUGAGCCUAAGUCGGAUUAGCUAGUUGGUGGGGUAAAGGCCUACCAAGGCGACGAUCUGUAGCGGGUCUGAGAGGAUGAUCCGCCACACUGGAACUGAGACACGGUCCAGACUCCUACGGGAGGCAGCAGUGGGGAAUAUUGGACAAUGGGCGCAAGCCUGAUCCAGCCAUGCCGCGUGUGUGAAGAAGGCCUUCGGGUUGAAAAGCACUUUUGUCCGGAAAGAAAUCCUUUCGAUUAAUACUCGGGAGGGAUGACGGUACCGGAAGAAUAAGCACCGGCUAACUUCGUGCCAGCAGCCGCUGUAACAC